ACCCAACAGUCUCGGCUGUUGCAGGAUGCAGGCGUGCAGCCCUGGAGAACACGUGUCAGCCCUAUGGCAGCAAGGCUUGUAAAAAU
rnacentral:lncRNA from 12 species